UGGGGAAUAUUGGGCAAUGGGGGCAACCCUGACCCAGCGACGCCGCGUGAGGGAAGACGGCCUUCGGGUUGUAAACCUCUUUUGUACGGGAAGAAGGAAGUGACGGUACUGUACGAAUAAGUCCCGGCUAACUACGUGCCAGCAGCCGCGGUAAUACGUAGGGGACGAGCGUUGUCCGGAAUUACUGGGCGUAAAGGGCGCGCAGGCUGUGCUGCAAGUCAGCUGUGAAAUGUCUGGGCUUAACCCGGGCAUGCGGUUGCGACUGCAGUGCUGGAGUGCUGUAGAGGCAAGUGGAAUUCCCAGUGUAGCGGUGAAAUGCGUAGAUAUUGGGAAGAACACCAGUGGCGAAGGCGACUUACUGGGCCGUAACUGACGCUGAGGCGCGAAAGCGUGGGGAGCGAACAGG
rnacentral:rRNA from 2 species